CCUACGGGAGGCAGCAGUGAGGAAUAUUGGUCAAUGGCCGAGAGGCUGAACCAGCCAAGUCGCGUGAGGGAAGACGGCCCUACGGGUUGUAAACCUCUUUUGUCGGGGAGCAAAGAGAGUCACGUGGGACGCAUUGAGAGUACCCGAAGAAAAAGCAUCGGCUAACUCCGUGCCAGCAGCCGCGGUAAUACGUCUGGAGCAAGCGUUAUCCGGAUUUACUGGGCGGAAAGGGAGCGUAGGCGGCCUGCCAAGUCUGAUGUGAAAUACCGGGGCUCACCCCCGGGGCUGCAUUGGAAACUGGCAGGCUGGCGUGCCGGCGAGGCAGGCGGCAUUCCUAGUGUAGCGGUGAGAUGCGUAGAUCUUAGGAGGAACCCCAGUGGCGACGGCGGCCUGCUGGACGGUGACUGCCGCUGUGGCUCGAACGCGUGGGGAGCACACCGGAUUCGAUACCCGAGUAGUC
rnacentral:rRNA from 1 species